AUUCUGAUUGAAUAGCAUUUAGAUGGCUGCCCUUGCUGGGAAAAAGAAUUCAGCAUUUGGUGCCUACCUGGAGUGGGCUGAUGUCUGGUGUCUGUGGUGUGGAACAUAGAGUGGAAAAAAAAUGAGAUGUUGGACAGCAGUUUUUCCAGCGUCCGGGGAGGAAGUAUUUUGGUGAUCAGUCGUCAUUCUCAUAAACACCGCAGCCCAGAAACCCUAUACUCUACUCCUUUGCUGAGUGUCCCCCCCCCCCCCCCCGGAAAGACGCACUGCUGGAUAGAGGCUGCUGGAUUUUCUUCUUUUUCAAGAAAGAGUGUUGGGAAGAGACGCUUCUCUCGCCUGGCUUUCAGGGGUUAUUGACUGAGGAUGCAAUUGUAAAGUUACCUGGUGUCUUUGUGGUAGACAGCUGUAAGACUGAGAGGAGCAGAACCGAAGUAUCAAAAGAGUCUUAGUACUACGCAGCUGUGAAAACAUCCCAACUCCAGCUUCCGGUCCCAUGGACUGAAUCAGAUCUACUUCUCACUGUCCAACUGCAACACAUACAAAAGGACUCUAAAAGGGGCUGUAAUAGUGAGUCCAAUCUAUAUAGCUGUAGGAAUGUAAAGUUAUGUUUUCUUAGAAAAAGACAAUUGGAAACCAAGUCACAAUCGAUGACUAGAUGGUAAUGUGAUGUUUAUUUGCUUUUUGUCUGAACUGAGAAAAAUGUUCCUCCAUGAUAAUGGAGUAAGGAGUUCUGAUCAUUGAGGAAGACAAGAUGUAUCAGGAAGGAUUUCAAUUUAAGAUAAUGUUGUUCUCACCUUUUUCAUUUAGUGGUACAAAAUGAAUGUCUGUUUCAAGAGCACUGGAGAAUUGGAACGACUGCUGUAAUAGCUCUAAAGCUAAGAUACCUUCAAGAAAGAAACAUUUUCUUUUAAACAAUUAUGUCUAAUUAUACUUAAGAAAUUAAAAGGUUCUUAGUAUUUAUGAAUAAAUAAGUUUUCUUUCUGUUUU